rnacentral:rRNA from 1 species
UACGUAGGGUGCGAGCGUUGUCUGGAAUUAUUGGGCGUAAAGGGCUCGUAGGCGGUUUGUCGCGUCGGGAGUGAAAACUCAGGGCUUAACCCUGAGCCUGCUUCCGAUACGGGCAGACUAGAGGUAUGCAGGGGAGAACGGAAUUCCUGGUGUAGCGGUGGAAUGCGCAGAUAUCAGGAGGAACACCGGUGGCGAAGGCGGUUCUCUGGGCAUUACCUGACGCUGAGGAGCGAAAGUGUGGGGAGCGAACAGG